rnacentral:rRNA from 1 species
GGGGGGGGGGGGGGGGGGGGGGUGGGCGGGGGGGGGGGGGGGGGGCGGGGGUGGGGGCGGCUGGGGGCGGGUGGGGGAGGGGGGGGGAAUGGAUGGGGAGGUGUCCUGUAGGGGGGGAUGGCCCGGGGGAAGCGGGAUUCAUACCGCAUCCGGUCUACGGGGGGAGGCGGGGGGCGGUGGGGCCUGGCGCGAUAGGGUUGGGCGAUGGCUGAGUAGCUAGUUGGUGGGGUAAAGGCCUACCAAGGCGACGAUCAGUAGCUGGUCUGAGAGGACGACCAGCCACACUGGGACUGAGACACGGCCCAGACUCCUACGGGAGGCAGCAGUGGGGAAUUUUGGACAAUGGGCGAAAGCCUGAUCCAGCAAUGCCGCGUGUGUGAAGAAGGCCUUCGGGUUGUAAAGCACUUUUGUCCGGAAAGAAAUCCUUGGCCCUAAUACGGUCGGGGGAUGACGGUACCGGAAGAAUAAGCACCGGCUAACUACGUG